ACCAGACUCCUACGGGAGGCAGCAGUGGGGAAUAUUGGGCAAUGGGCGCAAGCCUGACCCAGCAACGCCGCGUGAAGGAAGAAGGCUUUCGGGUUGUAAACUUCUUUUAAGAGGGAAGAGUAGAAGACGGUACCUCUUGAAUAAGCCACGUCUAACUACGUGCCAGCAGCCGCGGUAAUACGUAGGUGGCAAGCGUUGUCCGGAUUUACUGGGUGUAAAGGGAGCGUAGGCGGCCCGGCAAGCCUGAUGUGAAAUCCCGGGGCCCAACCCCGGGGCUGCAUUGGGAACUGCCAGGCUGGAGUGCCGGAGAGGCAGGCGGAAUUCCUAGUGUAGCGGUGAAAUGCGUAGAUAUUAGGAGGAACACCAGUGGCGAAGGCGGCCUGCUGGACGGUGACUGACGCUGAGGCUCGAAAGCGUGGGGAGCAAACAGGAUUAGAUACCCGAGUA
rnacentral:rRNA from 1 species